rnacentral:rRNA from 1 species
GACGAAGGUGGCUAGCGUUAUUCGGAUUUACUGGGCAUAAAGCGCGCGUAGGCGGCUUGGCAAGUCGGAGGUGAAAGCCUGCAGCUCAACUGCGGUGUGCCUCCGAAACUGUCGAGCUUGAGUGCGGGAGGGGUGAUUGGAACUCCUGGUGUAGCGGUGAAAUGCGCAGAUAUCAGGAGGAACACCAAUGGCGAAGGCAGCUCGCUGGGACGGUACUGACGCUGAGACGCGAAAGCGUGGGGAGCAAACAGG